GUUGUCAGAAUUAUCAUUCAUAAUAUGUUGUUUUAGUUAUGUCUUUCUGAUGAUGGUCAGAUUGGUCGAGCCACACUUGGGUCUGGUCACUCAUUUGUUAGAUACACUAAAUUCUGGUAUGUUAAUGAUUGGACCUAAUCAGAACCUUCAGUGGAGAUGCCACAUGCCUGCUGAAGAGGUGUCUGGGGUAAAAUUGAAUACUAAAAAUUA
rnacentral:lncRNA from 1 species